AGAGUUUGAUCCUGGCUCAGAUUGAACGCUGGCGGCAUGCUUUACACAUGCAAGUCGAGCGGCAGCGCGGGGGCAACCCUGGCGGCGAGCGGCGAACGGGUGAGUAAUGCAUCGGAACGUGUCCCGUAGUGGGGGAUAACCCGGCGAAAGCCGGGCUAAUACCGCAUAUGCUCUACGGAGGAAAGCGGGGGACCGCAAGGCCUCGCGCUAUGGGAGCGGCCGAUGUCCGAUUAGCUAGUUGGUGGGGUAAUGGCUUACCAAGGCGACGAUCGGUAGCUGGUCUGAGAGGAUGAUCAGCCACACUGGGACUGAGACACGGCCCAGACUCCUACGGGAGGCAGCAGUGGGGAAUUUUGGACAAUGGGGGCAACCCUGAUCCAGCCAUGCCGCGUGCGGGAAGAAGGCCUUCGGGUUGUAAACCGCUUUUAGCCGGGAAGAAAAGGCGGGGGCUAACACCCCUCGUUCUUGACGGUACCGGCGGAAUAAGCACCGGCUAACUACGUGCCAGCAGCCGCGGUAAU
rnacentral:rRNA from 1 species